UUAAGUGACUUGCCCAGGGUCACACAGCUAGGAAGUGUCUGAGGCCACAUUUGAAACCAGGACCUCCGGAGGGAGGCCUGGCUCAAUCCAUUGCGCCAGCUCGCUGCUCCGGUGUCCUUUAGUUCUAAAGAUAAACCUCGAACUUUUCCCUGUUUGGUCCUCUGCCAUCUUGAGGGCUUAGGAGCCGAUUGGGACAUGAGGGUAAAGCGGAGGGUAGGCGUCUGCAAGAAUGUGGUAGCUUUCUUCUUUCUGACCCUGAACAGACAGCCCCUGUGGUGCAUUAAUCCCGUCUUUCCCCCAGGCUUCUUGCUCCUUUCCCAUCCGAAUGGCCCCCACCUACUUCUGUUUCCACACUGGGCUGGCUCCUUCCCACCAUCACUGCUAGUUUGACCGCUGGAGCUCCCAUCCACCCUGCGCGUCCUUCCCCUCUACUUCCGGGAAGUCCGCAGGACUUGGGAGCACCGCGCCCGUACGGGCUCGCCCUCCCUCCACCCUGCUUCCUCCGGAUGCAGCGCCUGGUCUAGAGCCCGCGGAGAGUGUCGGUUGACUAGCGCUGAAUCUGACAUCCUCCCUCCCUUGACUCGGCACACUGGGGAUUUGAACCCAGGUCCUCAGAUUGCAGAGCCAGCCCAUGUCCGGCGCCCUGGCCCAGGAUCUGGAACCAAUAUUCAGGAAAUCUUGGACAAGUCACUGGACUUUGGAGUCAGAAGGACCCGGUUUCAAAUACUGCUUCAGACACUUAUUCGAUGAGGACACUCAGAGAGAAGGGAAUGACUUGCCCAAGGUCACCAAGAUACCAUGGGGUCUUCAAAAGGAUCAGAGUGUGAGCCAUAGGAAUCUGGGAACUGGAAACUCGUCUGGAUUUUGCAACCCAGCUUAACAUUGAUGCCCCCAAGGAGAAAGGAAGGGUUUUCGUGCCCUGAGGAUCAUGGAACACAUUCAAGAGUGACUUUGGGACCCCAGCCCAGUGCAAGGACUCAUCGCAUAGACAUGCUGAACCUGGACAGGAACUUGGUAAAACAAAUGCCAUGUAGGAACCAAGCUACGUUUGGUGCCUGCUCCUUCAGAGACUGAAGUGGUGUGGUGGAGAACAUGUAUCAGAGGAAAUGAUGAACAAGAUGACAACAGAAAAAGAACUGAAAAGACUUCGAUGAAGCAAAGUGCCUGGAAUCUGGAGAACGCUGUAGGCAGUAGCAGCCACAGUGGAUGCCGAACAAUGCAAGGAUCCAGGACAACUCCAAGGGACUCGAGAUGAAAAAGGCUAUCCGUGGCCAGAGAUGGAGUUUGAGUGGAUUGAAAAAUACCAUUCUUCACUUUAUUGUUUCCAUCCAUUUUUCUCUCGUGAGAGUGCUAUGUGCCUCCUUUUACAACUGACAGAAUGUGGAAAUAUACGUUGUAUGAUAACAUAUAUAUUUGCCUAAAUCAUGUUGGGAAGGGGGGAAAGAUGGAAGGGAGGGAACGACAUGGAUUACAGAAGGUCAGAAAAUGGUUAUUAAAAAGUAUAUCAACGUGUCAUUUGAGAAAGAAUAAAAACAUUUUAAAAAUAGAGUGCCCUGCCGGAAGUCAGGAAGACUCAUCUUCCUGAGAUUCAAUCUGGCCUCACACUACUUGUGUGACCCUGGGCAAGUCACAUAACCCUGUUUACCCCAAUUCUUUAUCUAUAAAAACCAUUCCAGCAUCUCUGCCAGGAAAACUCCCCAGAUGAGAUCAGCAAGAGUCAGCCAUGACUGAAACAACUGAACAAUGACAAGAGGGACUACGGCAUAAUGGACAGAGCCCCAGCCCUUAGGGUCAGAAAGGUUCUGGUCCGGGUUCAGAUACAGGAGCUCUCUGCCCUCGCCGCUUGAACGGCUCUUAGCCUCUCACAGAGUCCUAGACAAAUCCCCCAGUGGUCUGGUGAUUGUCCUCGGUGCAGGGAGUUUGGGGUUCAAGAGAAGCCUCGGUGACCCGCUGUCAGAGAGGUUGCAAUGGGUGUUGGGGCCCUAGAUCCGUACUGGCUUCUUCUAACUCCAGGAGUCUGCUGUUCUCUAUGAGACGCCAGAGUAGCUUGAAGCCAGGCGGGGAAAGAAG